rnacentral:rRNA from 1 species
AUGACAUCAGAAGGGAAUAAAGCUGCUGCGCCUAAUGAACCGCUGCCCAUUGAGCCACUUGCAAGCUCUGGUGCAAAGCGUAAGCGUGGCCGCCCAAGGAAGUACGAGUAUUCUACAUAUGAACAACCUCACAUGGCACAGCCCAUUCAGAGCAUUCCACCUCUUCGCAGCGCACUGUAUAACCCAAAUAUCCGACAUGAUGGGCUGCAUAUUAACCAUACAUUAGGUGGUACUCUUGACACUAAAAUGCAUACAGUUUAUGUUCUGCCUGCACAGCAGACUCAAGGUGAUAGGCCCAGUCGACCUGUAGAGUCUGGUAGUACAGUCAAGUUUCGUGAAAAUCAAGUCUCCAGCAGUAGUAGUGCUCAUGUGCAAGGUAAUUUAGGCAAGGAUGUUAUCAUUGGCAAGCAUUUUGUUGGAAAGAUGACCAAGCAAUGUCCUGGGUUUUCUCUUAUUACGGUGAGACUGAAGGACAAUCAGGUGCUCAGAGGUUGGAUCCCGGAUGAAACUAACCUACGCCCAAUAACACCAAAGGAUGAUCUUGCCCCUGACCUUCCCAUGCUCCAACCAAGUAAACUUCAAAAGAAAGCAUCUGCAAUCCACAGACAAGCUGCUCCUCCCUUACCAGUCCACUUAGAGAACGUUACAAUUGCAAAGCCUCUUCAGAUGAGGAGGCCUGUGGAGACAUCUACUGCUAAGCACAUCAUCCCUCCUGCUCCAAGACCUUACGUUGGUUCUGGGGUUGUUGCAGCAGCACCUGUUUCGGUUAUAUCUGGGAAUGUAUCAAGGCCUUUGCCCAAGCAAGACACUGGAUCUUUGAGCCAAGAACCAUCAGCUACUGUGGUGCCAGUCACAGUUAAACCUGCUCAGCCUGUAUUAGUAUCAUGCAGACACGUGGAUCAAGAUGUGCAUGUUGAAGGAAAAUCUGUCCCUGAGUUUAACAGUGAUUCUGAAUCUUCAAGUGGAAGCAAGGAGUCAUCAGGCCAAACUCCGCGUGGUUUUCCAGCUGCCAUGGAUGAGACUGAGAUAACAUCAGGCUCCAAAGAACACUCAAAUACUGCUAAUAGCGACCAACAUAUUUUUAAGGAACCAUCAGAUAACUCAGAACAGUCUGAUGAACCAAAGACAGAGACUAGCAUCCUGAAAGGAGUUGAUGGCUCAAUGAUAGAGGCCUCAGGAACUGCACCAGCGGCAGAGGCCUCAAGUGCAAACCCUAAUCCCCUAGAUGAUGUUCAAUCUGCCGUGAAGGAAGAUGAACUGAAGGUUGACAGCAAAGAAAGCAGGCUGACAACGACGACAUAA